GGAAGCUGGUGGGUGUGGGUGAAUAGUGGAAGGAUAUUCGGCAGAAACAGCCACAACAGGAAUAGGAAAUAAGUGAAUAUGGCCAUCCAGAGAAUCCAUUAUAUAUCAGAAGAGAUGGAGAAUGGGAGAAAAGGCCCGCGGCCCUUCUUGCACUUCACGCCCCAUGCAUCUCACUCCUCGCCCUUGGCACUCGAAUGUUUGCUUACAGUCUGCUUUGGGUGCUGUUGAGGACACAGGGACCCCAGGCCCUCCACUGCCAGGUGACGUCGGGAGCGGGGAGACCGUAGGCCGUGCACGUCAGCGUCUGGCUGCUGCCACUCGGGGUAAAACCACUGAAUGUCCACGCCAGUGUUGAACUCCACCACAGCCGUGCAGUUCAGGGUGAGGGCCUCCCCGACGAUCAGCUCUACCGGGUCCUCAGGAAACAGCUUGACAUUGUAAACCUGACUUCCUGUCCGGG